CAUGCCGUAAACGAUGUCUACUAGCCGUUGGGGGAUUUGAUCCUUUAGUGGCGCAGCUAACGCGAUAAGUAGACCGCCUGGGGAGUACGGUCGCAAGACUAAAACUCAAAUGAAUUGACGGGGGCCCGCACAAGCGGUGGAGCAUGUGGUUUAAUUCGAUGCAACGCGAAGAACCUUACCUGGCCUUGACAUAGUAGAGACUUUCCAGAGAUGGAUUGGUGCCUUCGGGAAUCUACAUACAGGUGC
rnacentral:rRNA from 1 species